rnacentral:rRNA from 1 species
UACGUAGGGUGCAAGCGUUGUCCGGAAUUAUUGGGCGUAAAGAGCUCGUAGGCGGUUUGUUGCGUCGGCUGUGAAAUCCCGAGGCUCAACCUCGGGUCUGCAGUCGAUACGAGCAAACUAGAGUGUUGCAGGGGAGACUGGAAUUCCUGGUGCAGCGGUGAAAUGCGCAGAUAUCAGGAGGAACACCGGUGGCGAAGGCGGCAUCCUGGACCAAUAUUGACGCUGAGGAGCGAAAGCUAGGGGAGCAAACGGG